CAUGGAGGGUGAGAAUCCCGUCCGGUUGAUCAGAUUCGCUUUACGAUACGCUUUCUAAGAGUCAAGUUGUUUGGGAUUGCAGCUUAAAAUGGGAGGUAAAUUUCUCCUAAGGCUAAAUAACGGCGAGAGACCGAUAGCGAACAAGUACCGUGAGGGAAAGAUGAAAAGAACUUUGAAAAGAGAGUUAAACAGUACGUGAAAUUGUUGAAAGGGAAACGAUUAAAGCCAGUCGUACCGGCGGGUAAUCAGCCUUUUGGGUGUGAUUAUGUGGAACGUGAGGAGUUUAAUCGCCUUCAUGCCUGCAUAUUCGUGCACUUUGGGUGUACUUGCUCGUGUGGUAGGUUAACAUCAAUUUCGAUCAUCAUAAAAUGAUUGGGGGAAUGUAGCUUCGAUCUCGUGUUGAAGUGUUUUAUAGACUCUGGUAGAUGUGAUGAUCGGGAUUGAGGAUUGCAACGGAUACCCUUCGGGGCUACCCGUCUGAUCUCUGAGAGUUACUCUGGUGCUGAAAGCGUGCUUACGGUAUCAAAGUUGACGUUCAAUAGGUUAGAACGGGAUAAAUUCGUUAAGGAUGUUGACGUAAUGG
rnacentral:rRNA from 1 species